rnacentral:lncRNA from 1 species
GAAAUUUUCAAUCAAUGUAUAUCUCUUUGCAUAAUAUUGAUGACAUGAUAUGUAUGAAGCCUUCCACGAUGUGCAUAUCUCUUUGCAUACUUGUCAAACCUUGUUUUUCAGAUUUAUUUAAUGAAGAUAGAAAUGAGCUUCUAAUCAUUCCAUGGUGGUGGAAACUCAUUCAUGAUUAUGGACAAGGUAUUCUGAUCCUUCUUGUUGUCUCUGCUAAUUCUAUUACACUGGCCUAAUGCCUUGAACUUGUUUCAGAGCCCAAGGGAUUGUCAUAGACAGAGAAGAGUGAGCGAAAAUAAGAUAAAUGGAGAAGAAAACCUUGUGAAGCUUCGAAAGUUGAGUUUUUCCAAUUGGUUUUGAUUAGCUUAAAUCUCAAUCGUAUUCUUUAUGAAGUUAAAUGCAGGGCUGCUUAUCCAUAUGGCUUCGGAGCUGCUUAUACAACAUGAUUAUUUCAUCUGUCCUCUAAAUUAUUAAGAUCAAUCUGUUGUGACUUUGAAGCACUUGUCUGGGAACAUUAAAAUUGGGAAUUAGUGCC